rnacentral:rRNA from 1 species
CACUUUCAGUCGUGAGGAAGGUAGUGUAGUUAAUAGCUGCAUUAUUUGACGUUAGCGACAGAAGAAGCACCGGCUAACUCCGUGCCAGCAGCCGCGGUAAUACGGAGGGUGCGAGCGUUAAUCGGAAUUACUGGGCGUAAAGCGCAUGCAGGUGGUUUGUUAAGUCAGAUGUGAAAGCCCGGGGCUCAACCUCGGAAUUGCAUUUGAAACUGGCAGACUAGAGUACUGUAGAGGGGGGUAGAAUUUCAGGUGUAGCGGUGAAAUGCGUAGAGAUCUGAAGGAAUACCGGUGGCGAAGGCGGCCCCCUGGACAGAUACUGACACUCAGAUGCGAAAGCGUGGGGAGCAAACAGGAUUAGAUACCCUGGUAGUCCACGCCGUAAACGAUGUCUACUUGGAGGUUGUGGCCUUGAGCCGUGGCUUUCGGAGCUAACGCGUUAAGUAGACCGCCUGGGGAGUACGGUCGCAAGAUUAAAACUCAAAUGAAUUGACGGGGGCCCGCACAAGCGGUGGAGCAUGUGGUUUAAUUCGAUGCAACGCGAAGAACCUUACCUACUCUUGACAUCCAGAGAACUUUCCAGAGAUGGAUUGGUGCCUUCGGGAACUCUGAGACAGGUGCUGCAUGGCUGUCGUCAGCUCGUGUUGUGAAAUGUUGGGUUAAGUCCCGCAACGAGCGCAACCCUUAUCCUUGUUUGCCAGCGAGUAAUGUCGGGAACUCCAGGGAGACUGCCGGUGAUAAACCGGAGGAAGGUGGGGACGACUUCAAGUCAUCAUGGCCCUUACAAGAAGGGCUACACACGUG